rnacentral:rRNA from 1 species
CAUGCAAGUCGAGCGGUAGCACAGAGAGCUUGCUCUCGGGUGACGAGCGGCGGACGGGUGAGUAAUGUCUGGGAAACUGCCUGAUGGAGGGGGAUAACUACUGGAAACGGUAGCUAAUACCGCAUAACGUCGCAAGACCAAAGUGGGGGACCUUCGGGCCUCAUGCCAUCAGAUGUGCCCAGAUGGGAUUAGCUAGUAGGUGGGGUAACGGCUCACCUAGGCGACGAUCCCUAGCUGGUCUGAGAGGAUGACCAGCCACACUGGAACUGAGACACGGUCCAGACUCCUACGGGAGGCAGCAGUGGGGAAUAUUGCACAAUGGGCGCAAGCCUGAUGCAGCCAUGCCGCGUGUGUGAAGAAGGCCUUCGGGUUGUAAAGCACUUUCAGCGGGGAGGAAGGCGAUAAGGUUAAUAACCUUGUCGAUUGACGUUACCCGCAGAAGAAGCACCGGCUAACUCCGUGCCAGCAGCCGCGGUAAUACGGAGGGUGCAAGCGUUAAUCGGAAUUACUGGGCGUAAAGCGCACGCAGGCGGUCUGUCAAGUCGGAUGUGAAAUCCCCGGGCUCAACCUGGGAACUGCAUUCGAAACUGGCAGGCUAGAGUCUUGUAGAGGGGGGUAGAAUUCCAGGUGUAGCGGUGAAAUGCGUAGAGAUCUGGAGGAAUACCGGUGGCGAAGGCGGCCCCCUGGACAAAGACUGACGCUCAGGUGCGAAAGCGUGGGGAGCAAACAGGAUUAGAUACCCUGGUAGUCCACGCCGUAAACGAUGUCGAUUUGGAGGUUGUGCCCUUGAGGCGUGGCUUCCGGAGCUAACGCGUUAAAUCGACCGCCUGGGGAGUACGGCCGCAAGGUUAAAACUCAAAUGAAUUGACGGGGGCCCGCACAAGCGGUGGAGCAUGUGGUUUAAUUCGAUGCAACGCGAAGAACCUUACCUGGUCUUGACAUCCACAGAACUUAGCAAAGAUGCUUUGGUGCCUUCGGGAACUGUGAAACAGGUGCUGCAUGGCUGUCGUCAGCUCGUGUUGUGAAUGUUGGGUUAAGUCCCGCACGAGC